GCGCCGUUCGUCUAGCCUGGUAGGACACAGGCUUCCCAAGCCUGGAGCGCGGGUUCAAAUCCCGCACGGCGCA
rnacentral:tRNA from 1 species